UUCUUAGCUCUUCCCACAUACCAGGCUCCCCUCCUCACCACGACCCCAUGAAGGAGUCACAUCUUUACCCUCUUUAUGGAUGAGGAAACUGAGGCUCAGAGAGGGAGAGUUCCUUGCCCAAGGGCUAGAAUAUGGAGAGCUCAGCGGAACCCAGGACUCUGCCUGCAAAGCCCACCCUUUCAGCCCCUUCCUUUCUUUGGGACCUGGAACCCUGUUGACCUCCAACCUGGUAUAACUGGGGGAGGUGCUGCGAGGGCUGCCAUGCAGCCUGGUGGCACUGAAACCGGAGAAGGGGACACGGAGGAGGCCCAGAUAUGGAGGGGGAUGAUCCGUCCCUUGGGGGACGGGCUCUGGGCUAGACCUUGCCCCCUGACCAUGCCUCUGCCUCCCAGAUGUGGACGAAUGCCUGGAGGGGUUGGACGACUGUCACUACAACCAGCUCUGCGAGAACACCCCAGGCGGUCACCGCUGCAGCUGCCCCAGGGGUUACCGGAUGCAAGGCCCCAGCCUGCCCUGCCUAGGUACGGGGACACCCACCCUCUGGCCAGCACCCCCAGCUCAGGGGCUGAGGGUGUCUAAGGCACCAGUGCUGGUGAGUUCUGAGAAUAACCAAACAGCAGCUGACACUUUGCACUCACUGGGUGCCUGCCUGUGCACCAAACCCUCAGCCUGACCCUGUGGGGUCAUCUUCCAGGGAAUUUCAGGAGCGGGAGGACUGUAGAGGCAAGUGGGUGUAUCUCAGAGAGGCUUAGGAGAGGGAAUGGAUCUAACUGGGGCACUGAAGGGCUGAGGGGGAGCUGGAGUCUGGGAUGAUGCUGAGAGCCGGGGAGGCUGGGCCUCUGGGAGCCAUAGGUGGAAUCAGAGAGGAGGCUGGGGUUGGUCCGGGAGAGGGGGAUGCAGUGUGGCCUGCAUGCAGCAUGGGAGUGGCUGGAUUCUAGAGAGUGCCAACGAGAGAGAAGGCAGGGCCAGGCAAUGGCUGCAGGGCAACCCGGGCCCCCUGUGCACACACCUGACCCCACUCCUCUGCAGAUGUCAAUGAGUGCCUACAGCUGCCCAAGGCCUGUGCCUACCAGUGCCACAACCUCCAGGGCAGCUACCGCUGCCUGUGCCCCCCAGGCCAGAUCCUCCUUCGCGACGGCAAGGCCUGCACCUCACUGGAGCGGAAUGGACGAAAUGUGACCACCGUCAGCCACCGAGGCCCUCUAUUGCCCUGGCUGCGGCCCCGGGCCUCGAUCCCCGGUGGCUCCUACCAUGCCUGGGUCUCUCUCCGUCCGGGUCCUGUGGUCCUGAGCAGCGUGGGCCGGGCCUGGUGCCCUCCUGGUUUCAUCAGGCAGAACGGAGUCUGCACGGGUAAGGCCAGGCCCUGACCAUCCACGGGACACUGCAUUAUGGGCUCUUGGGCCCCUAGGGUGGGUGUGCAGGUGCCACCCACCGAGUUCAGAAACCCAGACCUUCCAGGCAAGUGGGGUGGGGGGUGUGGUGGAUGGUGGCUUCUCUGAUGCAGGGUGUCUCAGAGCCUUGGCUGUGCUACUGGGCAGGGGGCUUCCAAGAUGGGGUGGACUAUUUUUUAAAUCAUUUGACUUCAGGACACUUUGCCCAGAGGGAGGGCAUCCUAGGCAAGUGGUCCUGGGAACCCCCUUUGAGAAACACUCCUCUUAGCACUCAGAGGGAAAGCAGUCAGGGAGGGAGAUUUUCAGGGGUGAAGGAGAAUGUUCCAGGUAGACAUGAGAAUGUGACAAGGGACUGCUGGGUAGAGGGGGUGGGGGUGGGGGACGGCCCCUGGACCCUGCAGAGAGGGACAAAGAGGAGGUGGCCUGCCCCAGGGCUGAUGCUUCGGCAUUCCCACCUGGGCGGAGGGGUCUGUGGGGCGGUGCUGCUUGCUCCCUCUAUGCCUCGGUGAGCACAGGGUAGGUAAGGUGGGGCUCCUCCCUCUCACCAAGCCCAGGGACUCCCCUAACUCCUGAACCCGGGCUGGGAGGGGCAGGACAGGGAGAAGGAGCAGGGCAGCUCCAGAGCCCAGUGGGCAGGUGUGUGUGGCUCAGUGCAUCUCACUGCCCCCGUCCCCCACCUGCCCCACCCCCAUGCCCGGGCCAGACCUUGACGAGUGCCGGGUGAGGAACCUGUGUCAGCACGCCUGCCGAAACACCGAGGGCAGCUACCAGUGCCUGUGCCCCGCUGGCUACCGCCUGCUCCCCAGCGGGAAGAACUGCCAGGACAUCAACGAGUGCGAGGAGGAGAGCAUCGAAUGUGGACCUGGCCAGAUGUGCUUCAACACCCGCGGCAGCUACCAGUGUGUGGACACACCCUGUCCUGCCACCUACCGGCAGGGCCCCAGCCCUGGGUAAGGGCUGAGUUGGCACGGCCUUGUGCCCUCAGGAAAAGCACAUUUUUCAGUCACUCGGGGUGCAGGCUGGCCCUGUCAUCGUCACUCCCCACACAAGUGAUGCAGGCAGGAGCGCACAGAGCCCUCGGGGCAGGGAGAGGCCAGAGUGGGAGAGAACGGGGACACAGGAGCACACACACCAAACCCAGACAUAGGACCACCAUGCAGACUCACACACAACGCCAGGACAAAAAACUCAGACACACCAGCACCAAACCCAUCUCCUCCAUACCACUCACAGCGGCCACGGACACUCAUCAAGACGCACGGAGACAUGGGGGACCUUAGGGGUGGCAGCUACUGCCCUAGAAAGGUUUCUCCCGGCGGGUGACCUGCCCCAGGCCUUACAACUAGAAACCUAGGCUGGGGUUGGAAGCAGAUGCCCGCGGCAAGGCUAAGCACAGUGUCCACCUCCAAUCCCGCCCCCGCAGGGCAAAUCCAGACUGGGUGACUUGACCCAGGGGCACAUCGCUCCCCUGUGUCUGCUGGGCUUCCCUGGGGCAUGGAUCCGGAAAGUCCGCUGGAGGCACCCUGAAAGGGCACGCCUCUGGCUUCUCUGGGCUUCAGUUUGUUGAUCUCUAAAACGGGGUAGCGUGGGCGCCUGCAGAGAAGGCGUGUGGGGCUCUGCGGGAGAAGGACGGGCAGCGCGUGGGCGGAACUGCAGGGGCUGGCAGGGAGGUCUGAGUUACGCGGAUGGGCCACGCUCCGACCGCACCCCCGAGUCCCCCUGUCUGUGUAUUUGUGCCGCCCGCAGGACGUGCUUCCGGCGCUGCUCGCAGGACUGCGGCACCGGCGGCCCCUCUACGCUGCAGUACCGGCUGCUGCCGCUGCCCCUGGGCGUGCGCGCCCACCACGACGUGGCCCGCCUCGCCGCCUUCUCCGAGGCCGGCGUCCCCGCCAACCGCACCGAGCUCAGCAUGCUGGAGCCCGACCCCCGCAGCCCCUUCGCGCUGCGUCCGCUGCGCGCGGGCCUCGGCGCGGUCUACACCCGUCGAGCGCUCACCCGCGCCGGCCUCUACCGGCUCACCGUUCGCGCCGCGGCGCCGCGCCACCAAAGCGUCUUCGUCCUGCUCAUCGCCGUGUCCCCCUACCCCUACUAAACGGGAGAGGGCAUUGGCGGCCGCCCUGGCGUGACCCCCGAGGAAGGGGUCGAGGAGAAGCUUGGUCUAUGCCCCCUGCUGUGGCAAGCGGAGCGUCAUCGUCUCCCGCCCCGUGCGUCAGCGAGACCUUGGGUCAACACGACCCUGCGCACAGCCUUGACCCCCGACAGCGAGGACCUGACCUCACAGAGGGAGGCGUCCAGGGCGGCCCCUGGGUGGCCAGGCCCGCAGGCAGGGCCAGGGGAAGCCUCCAGGUCUGAUCCGCCCCUCAGUGGGAGCGGGACAGGGACACAGGGCACCUGGACGCGCGGGAGAGGGGGCAGACCCCGCGUUGGGGGUGGCAGCGGCUGUCGCCCGGCCACGCCUGGCGGUGUCAUUCUGAACCCUGUUGCAAUAUAAAAGGAUUGUUUUUUUAACC
rnacentral:sRNA from 1 species